GACGAACGCUGGCGGCGUGCUUAACACAUGCAAGUCAAGGGGGCUCAGGGGCAACUCUGGGCAACCGGCGAACGGGUGCGUAACACGUGAGCAACCUGCCGAUCUCGCGGGGGAUAGCCGGCCCAACGGCCGGGUAAUACCGCAUACGCUUCUCGAGGGACAUCCCUUGGGAAGGAAACCCCUGGGGCAACUCAGGGGACGGAUCGAGGGGCUCGCGGCCUAUCAGCUAGUUGGUGCGGGUAACGGCCCACCAAGGCGACGACGGGUAGCCGGCCUGAGAGGGCGACCGGCCACACUGGGGACUGAGACACGGCCCAGACUCCUACGGGAGGCAGCAGUGGGGAAUAUUGCGCAAUGGGCGAAAGCCUGACGCAGCGACGCCGCGU
rnacentral:rRNA from 1 species